UACGGGGGGGGCAAGCGGUUGUUCGGAAUUACUGGGCGUAAAGGGCUCGUAGGCGGCCAACUAAGUCGGACGUGAAAUCCCUCGGCUUAACCGGGGAACUGCGUCCGAUACUGGAUGGCUUGAGUUUGGGAGAGGGAUGCGGAAUUCCAGGUGUAGCGGUGAAAUGCGUAGAUAUCAGGAGGAACACCGAUGGCGAAGGCAAUCCC
rnacentral:rRNA from 1 species